AUGCUUGUUGAUGAUUGGGUGUUCACGCACAUGUGUGAGAUAUGCCACCCUUGAACCUUGUUACACUGUUGGCACAUUACCUGUCUGACC
rnacentral:snoRNA from 10 species